rnacentral:lncRNA from 1 species
CUGUUGUAAACUGUGCAUACGAGGGAUCUAGUUUACCUGCUUCUUAUGAGAAUCUAACUAAUGCCUGAUGAUCUGUCACUGCCUCCCAUCACCCCCAGAAAGACUGUCUAGUUGAAGGAAAACAAGCUCUGGGCUCCCACUGAUUCUACGUUAUGAGGAAUUUCUCAAGAUUUUAUCUUUACUGAUUGAUUUCUAAGGGAUGCUACUUGCUUCUAACAUCAUGUUAAUCAGCAAUGUAAGCUCUGGCAUAGCUUACCAACCCUAAGAGUGGCAGGGAGUUGCUCUGUGUAAUGGUGGAGUACUCAGCUGUCUUCUCCAUGGUGGUUGAGUUCUCUGGAUGGGAUCAGCUUUCUUCACAUGUCACUGAAGUGAAAGGGGACAAUUGAAACCUAUUUUGACAGGUUUAAAAGCUAAAGCCAAGCCAGGAAGAGGAAGACAAGAUGAGAAACCCCAAAUCAAGCACUGCAUCUCAAUUGCUGUGCCCUAUCCACUGCCUGAUGCUCUGUUGUGAUUGGACAGAUUGCCCAGAAAUCAGGACGAAGCAUCUCACUAUCACCCGAGAAAUAAUAAGUCAAAGGAUCUUUCACUGUUGUCCCUUAUUUAUUCAUUCACCCAUUUGUUCGUUCAUUCAUCCAUGUAUUAAUUAAUACAUUUAUAUAUUUAUUCAGUUUCUCCAAUCAAAAUUUUUUAAGUAGAAUCACCAAUAAUUAGUAACUGAUUGGACAUAGCUGGAAAUAAAUGGAGAAGCCUUUACCAAUUCUAGUUUUGAUAAAAUCCAGACUUUACCAAACAGGGAGUCAGAUUACAUCCCUCGAUUUUGCACCCCUCUCCUUCCUGACUCCAUGAUACACCCUAGUAAAGGAAUCUCUCUGUCUAUA